CCCUUAGAUGUUCUGGGCCGCACACGCGCUACACUGACGAAUGCAACGAGCUUAUAACCUUGGCCGAAAGGUCUGGGUAAUCUCCAAAUUUCGUCGUGAUGGGGAUAGAUUAUUGCAAUUAUUAAUCUUCAACGAGGAAUGCCUAGUAAGCGCAAGUCAUCAGCUUGCGUUGAUUACGUCCCUGCCCUUUGUACACACCGCCCGUCGCUCCUACCGAUUGAAUGGUCCGGUGAAGCGUUCGGACCGUGGCCUUUGGACGGUUCGCCGUCUGUUGGCUGCGGGAAGUUCGUUAAACCUUAUCAUUUAGAGGAAGGAGAAGUCGUANCA
rnacentral:rRNA from 1 species